GUAAAUUUGAAUCAUGGAGAUGAUGUUCAAUUAAUUAGUUUGUGAAGAAGAAGCCAUUGCAGUGGUGAUCGGAUCAACGUACAGUUUGGCAUUUCAAUACUCAGAUCAUUGUGUUUAAUUAAUCAUAAUGACACUAGUCUAAUAAUAAAGUAAAGGUUUUGAAAAGAGAUGGAUCGAGGAGAUGGUUUACCUGGUUAAUAACCACACUUCUGACAAGGAAUAUUGUUCAUCCAGCUGCAGGCAAAGAGCUCCACUUUUCAAUAAUUGUUAGUUGAACCUUGAACGUCUUAUUUUCAACAUUGUUGGCCUCUUCCUCAGAAGCAACAGCCAUUGUAGUAGCUUUAGCCACUAGGCCUUCGAAGCAUAACUCCUCUGUUCACCACCGGAGAAGAAGCUAGACUAGACUUAGCACCUAAACUCUUGAGUUGAACUUCUCCGUUACAAUGAUCUGAGACUACAAGUUAGUGAAUUAAUAAUGCUUCACAAUCUCUUAAGCAAGUAUAUACUGUAUGAAAAACAUUAACUAACUUGGAACCUAGAAAAGCUUUGCUUCAAUCACUUGAGCAAGGCAGCCAAGCUGGUUGUGCCAUUCCGAAAGACAAAUUCCUUUACCAGUAAGUAUUGAACAGAGGUCGUUAUUGUUCCUAAUGAGUUACCUUUAUUCAUCCUACCACAAUCCACGACAAAUCUAUGAAGCCCUUCCUAGUUCUGGCCUAGAGUAGCUGUUUCCAUCUGCUGCGUUCCUUUAUGGAAAAGUCAUUUCAAUGAAAUUCAGAUAGCAAUAUAAUUAAAAAAAACUCGGAGAACUUAAAAUUAGUGAGCAAUAUGAAUAAUGAGCAAAACCUGAGACAAUUUCAACGGUAGCAUCAUCAGGUCCUGGCGUGGCAGUUUCCACAUACUGCAUACCUUCAUGAAAAAUUAAUUUGGAAAAAUUUUG
rnacentral:lncRNA from 1 species